rnacentral:rRNA from 1 species
GACGAACGCUGGCGGCGUGCUUAAUACAUGCGAGUCGAACGGAAAGGCCCUGCUUUUGUGGGGUGCUUGAGUGGCGAACGGGUGAGUAACACGUGAGUAACCUGCCCUUGACUUUGGGAUAACUUCAGGAAACUGGGGCUAAUACCGGAUAGGAGCUCCUGCUGCAUGGUGUGGGUUGGAAAGUUUCGGCGGUUGGGGAUGGACUCGCGGCUUAUCAGCUUGUUGGUGGGGUAGUGGCUUACCAAGGCUUUGACGGGUAGCCGGCCUGAGAGGGUGACCGGCCACAUUGGGACUGAGAUACGGCCCAGACUCCUACGGGAGGCAGCAGUGGGGAAUAUUGCACAAUGGGCGGAAGCCUGAUGCAGCAACGCCGCGUGCGGGAUGACGGCCUUCGGGUUGUAAACCGCUUUCGCCUGUGACGAAGCGUGAGUGACGGUAAUGGGUAAAGAAGCACCGGCUAACUACGUG